rnacentral:rRNA from 1 species
AGCGAACGCUGGCGGCAGGCCCAACACAUGCAAGUCGAACGAACUCUUCGGAGUUAGUGGCGGACGGGUGAGUAACACGUGGGAACGUGCCUUUAGGUUCGGAAUAACUCAGGGAAACUUGUGCUAAUACCGAAUGUGCCCUUCGGGGGAAAGAUUUAUCGCCUUUAGAGCGGCCCGCGUCUGAUUAGCUAGUUGGAGGUGUAAUGGACCCCCAAGGCGACGAUCAGUAGCUGGUCUGAGAGGAUGACCAGCCACAUUGGGACUGAGACACGGCCCAAACUCCUACGGGAGGCAGCAGUGGGGAAUCUUGCGCAAUGGGCGAAAGCCUGACGCAGCCAUGCCGCGUGGAUGAUGAAGGUCUUAGGAUUGUAAAAUCCUUUCACCGGUGAAGAUAAUGACUGUAGCCGGAGAAGAAGCCCCGGCUAACUUCGUGCCAGCAGCCGCGGUAACAC